rnacentral:miRNA from 1 species
UAUUGGACAAGGGGACUGUUUAAUAGAACUAAUUAACCAUAACUAUUUUGUUAUGUUAACCCACCCCCUCAUCUAAUA